ensembl:ncRNA lncRNA:CR46496 long non-coding RNA:CR46496
CCUUUUGCCGCCAUCGAGAUCGGAGCAGACAGCUGAGUGGACCGUCCUGCCAACAGCAGACGACAUUGUGCCGGACAUGAAAGGCUUGAAAGUUGUCUGGUGCGGGAAAAUACCCCCUUUUCUAGAGGAAAAACUGAAAAAAAACUGAUUCAGAAUCAGUCUUCGACUGGGCCUCUGAAGUGGACUGACUGGCAGACGGAAAUUGAAGUGUUUGUAAUGUAUGCACCGCCUGCGGCAAGAAAACGGAUGAGCCAAAGGCAUUUCCAGCUGGAAACUCCCCGCUCCUCCUGCCGUCGACAGCAAAAAGUGACAGCCAUGUCGGCAGGCUCGACGGCGACGAGUGCGUCUAAUUGAUGGGCAGACGAAGGCUUUUCCAUGCAAAUAUAU